UCUUAGGGAUAAGGAAAGAAAGUGGUUUCUCGAGAUGGAACCUACUUCAGGUGAAGAUGCUGUGAA
rnacentral:pre_miRNA from 1 species